CAGCGGGAGUCAGUCCCGCCGGGGCAAGAGCCAGAGGCCCCGUAGCUUGGAUGGCAGAGGGGAGGGAGACCGAACCCCUGAAGCCCAUCGACACCGCCAUCUUCGGGAUGGCCAGCGAGUUCCCGGGCCGUAACGUGA
rfam:Candidatus Rokubacteria bacterium GWC2_70_16 gwc2_scaffold_6762, whole genome shotgun sequence.